rnacentral:rRNA from 1 species
CCUACGGGUGGCAGCAGUGGGGGAUAUUGCACAAUGGGGGAAACCCUGAUGCAGCGACGCCGCGUGGGCGAAGAAGUCUUUCUGUAUGUAAAGCCCUAUCAGCAGGGAAGAAGAAAUGACGGUACCUGAGGAAGAAGCAACGGCUACAUACGGGCCAGCAGCAUCGGCAAUACGGUUGGUGCAAGCGUUAUCCGGAUUUCCUGGGGGUAAAGGGAGCGCAGGGGGCACGGCAAGCCUGCUGUGACAGCCCGCGGCCCAACCGCGGGACUGCAUUGGGAACUACCGGGCUGGCGUGCCGGAGAGGUAGCCGGAAUUCCUAGUGUAGCGGUGAAAUGCGUAGAUAUUAGGAGGAACACCAGUGGCGAAGGCAGCCUACUGGACGGUGACUGACGCUGAGGCUCGAAAGCGUGGGGAGCAAACAGGAUUAGAUACCCUUGCAGUC